rnacentral:lncRNA from 1 species
AGGAAAUUACAUUUUGGCCCAUAUUUUGCUAAAAUUACACUUUUUCCCUAGAAGCUUUGCAUCCUAUGCAAUUUGGUCCUCCUGGACUUGUCAAAACGCCGCAAUAGCAGCCAAGCGUACCCCUCCCCAGCCGAGCUACUCCAGCAGCCUCCCUAGGCCAUGAUGGCUCCCCUGCAACCUGAAAACAAAAUUGAAAGUAUUUAAAAGGGGGG